GGGUCAGUAGGUUGGUCGUGCCACCGGUACGUACUGGUCUCACUGAUUCCUCCUUCCUGAAGAACCGUAAUGCCAUUAAUUUGGUGUUGCGGGGAAACAGGACUGUUACUUUGAAAAAAUUAGAGUGUUUAAAGCAAGCUAACGCUUGAAUUCAUUAGCAUGGAAUAAUGAAAUAGGACGAUCCAUCCUAUUUUGUUGGUUUCUAGGAUUGACGUA
rnacentral:rRNA from 1 species